GCCAAGAAGAAAAGCAGAUAAACAGACAGGAACACAUGUUCCUGGUCCAUUGCACAAUAUCUGAAAGAGAUGAAACAUAUUACAAAACCCCAGAAAUCCAGCCUGGGAAUGUGAUGACUGCAAUGCUGUGUUUUCUGACCAGAAUCAACAGACUGUAAUACUGUUUCUAAAAAUGUUCUGAUUUUAUUGUUGAUCUUAAUUGAACUAUUUAUUAAUGCAAGACUUGACUGAUGUUUUCAGAGUCCCUUACAGGUAAUGUGUUGUAUGCAGUUUUAAUCUUGAAAUUUUAGGGUAUAAAUAUGCACAGAUACUCGAAUUUGAAACUUGCAACAAUGUACUUACUUUGUAUUUUUUGGUAUAAUAUAGCUUAGAAGCUGAACACAUCUUUACAUCCUAGAAUUUUGAAAUCAGAGAAGAAUACCGUGGUUUCAAACCUCCUCCUGAACCUGAUUUCAAGCACAUCCACACUGGGUGUGCUUAUAUCCUACUCUACAAUCUACUGAGAAUGAAGAUCUGAUUUUUAUACAUUUGGCUGGGUGAAUAAGGACAUAAACCAACCACACAUGCUGCCUUUUUGCAUUUCAAAGAAACUUUUCCAUAUCUGUAAAAUAAACAAUACAUUUUGCC